CGCAAAGACAUUUUUGUUUGAGCCUGUUUUUACAGCUGACUCCACACAGAGGCGCUGUUGUGCAUGCAUGUGUGAGAGUGCAGGUAAUGCUGUAUUUACAGUCACCAAGGAACUUUUAUAUUUACUGAGACGUGUUUCUGUAUAUGUAUCAGGAGUUAAUAAAAGUUGUGUUACUGCA